CUCGUAGGCGGUUCGUCGCGUCCGGUGUGAAAGUCCAUCGCUUAACGGUGGAUCUGCGCCGGGUACGGGCGGGCUGGAGUGCGGUAGGGGAGACUGGAAUUCCCGGUGUAACGGUGGAAUGUGUAGAUAUCUGGAAGAACACCAAUGGCGAAGGCAGGUCUCUGGGCCGUUACUGACGCUGAGGAGCGAAAGCGUGGGGAGCGAACA
rnacentral:rRNA from 1 species